UAAAGACAUGUCCUGAAACAAAUAUCUGAUGUUUGAAAUUGGGGAGAAUUUUCUUUUUCCUUUACUUGAACAUUCUUGAGAAAAUGUAGAUCUCCAUCGAUCAACUCAAGCUACACAAUGAUUUGAAGACUCCAUUUAUACAAUCGAUAUUACUAUACAAGUACCACCAUAUAAGAAUAUCUCACUUUAAGCUACUGGAAAAGUGCUUCUGAAGGGUGUGCUCAAACUCAUCUAACGAAGAAAUAUAUUUUAUUAAAGGCUAUGCAGGAACCGACAUUCUAUUCCUCCUACAUAGUGGUUGACUCGGGGGAUCAUCUUUUGAACCGAAGUGGUGAUUUUUCAUCCUUUAGAAGGCUCCAUUUCAUGUUAUGGACAUCUAUAGACACUUUGAUUUUAUUUUGGAUAUUGGUUUUGGCCAUGGUUAGAGGCAUAUCCCAACCUAAUAUUUUUUUACUCUUUUGGUUAGAGGC